CCGGUCCGGGUGGGGCGAAUGUUGUCCUAGCGGGUGUCCUGGGUCUGGGGCCGAAGUCCAAGGGGAUAGUCCGGGUCCUGGCAGCACCGCCCUCUUGCGUCCCGCGCUGAGAGCGGGCCUAGAGCGCUCGCUUCGCCCCUCCUCGAGCCGGGCUCCAGGAUUCCCCGGCUCCGAUCCCCGCCCCGGCCCCGCACUGCUGGCACCCUGAAGAGAGUCGCUGGCCGUGGUGGCCGCUGGGGAGGGUAUUUCUGCAUCUUGAAGGUAAAACAAAAAUAUUCUUUGGAAUAGAUGGAUUUUUGUCACUUUCUGUGAACUAAAGCGAUUCAAUGUCUCUUUUGGAUUGUUUCUGCACUUCAAGAACACAAGUUGAAUCUCUCAGACCUGAAAAACAGUCUGAAACCAGUAUCCAUCAAUACUUGGUUGAUGAGCCAACCCUUUCCUGGUUGCCUCCAUCCACUAGAGCCAGUGAAGUGAUAUGUUCCACCAAUGUUUCUCACUAUGAGCUCCAAGUGGAAAUAGGUAAUAAUUCUGGAUUUCACAUAAUUGACCCUUC